rnacentral:misc_RNA from 1 species
GUUAUUAAGAUCAGAUUCCAGGUUCAACUGGAGCCCACAUCUUCAUGGGCUUUGGUUCAUGGAAAUAUGGGUGGAUCAUCAAAGUACACUGGAAUGUUGCAAGCAGCAAAAGACAUAUUUAGAGAGGAAGGCUUGCCGGGUUUCUGGCGUGGCAACGUCCCAGCUUUACUAAUGGUUAUGCCAUACACUGCCAUACAAUUUGCAGCGUUACACAAAUUGAAAACUUUUGCAGCUGGAUCUUCAAAGGCAGAGAAUCACAUUCAGUUAAGUCCUUACCUCUCUUAUGUCAGCGGGGCAUUAGCAGGGUGUGCUGCUACGAUUGGAUCAUACCCAUUUGAUCUUCUUAGAACCCUAUUGGCUUCACAGGGUGAACCAAAGGUCUAUCCAACAAUGAGAUCUGCAUUUGUUGAUAUCCUUAGAACUCGUGGCUUCAGAGGCUUAUAUGCUGGAUUAUCACCAACACUAGUCGAGAUUGUUCCUUAUGCUGGCCUUCAGUUUGGCACCUAUGAUACAUUUAAACGCUGGACCAUGGCUUGGAACUGCCACACUUCUUAUAAUAUGAGCUCGACCAAUAUUGAUGUUAGUCUUUCAAGCUUUCAGCUUUUUGUCU